CCUACGGGCGGCUGCAGUGAGGAAUAUUGGUCAAUGGGCGCUAGCCUGAACCAGCCAAGUAGCGUGAAGGAUGACUGCCCUAUGGGUUGUAAACUUCUUUUAUAUGGGAAUAAAGUGCAGUAUGUAUACUGCUUUGCAUGUACCUUAUGAAUAAGGAUCGGCUAACUCCGUGCCAGCAGCCGCGGUAAUACGGAGGAUCCGAGCGUUAUCCGGAUUUAUUGGGUUUAAAGGGAGCGUAGGCGGGUUGUUAAGUCAGUUGUGAAAGUUUGCGGCUCAACCGUAAAAUUGCAGUUGAUACUGGCAGCCUUGAGUACAGUAGAGGUAGGCGGAAUUCGUGGUGUAGCGGUGAAAUGCUUAGAUAUCACGAAGAACUCCGAUUGCGAAGGCAGCCUGCUGGACUGUAACUGACGCUGAUGCUCGAAAGUGUGGGUAUCAAACAGGAUUAGAUACCCUAGUAGUC
rnacentral:rRNA from 1 species